rnacentral:rRNA from 1 species
UGGGGAAUAUUGCACAAUGGGCGCAAGCCUGAUGCAGCCAUGCCGCGUGUGUGAAGAAGGCCUUCGGGUUGUAAAGCACUUUCAGCGAGGAGGAAGGCGUUAAGGUUAAUAACCUUGGCGAUUGACGUUACUCGCAGAAGAAGCACCGGCUAACUCCGUGCCAGCAGCCGCGGUAAUACGGAGGGUGCAAGCGUUAAUCGGAAUUACUGGGCGUAAAGCGCACGCAGGCGGUUUGUUAAGUCAGAUGUGAAAUCCCCGAGCUUAACUUGGGAACUGCAUUUGAAACUGGCAAGCUAGAGUCUUGUAGAGGGGGGUAGAAUUCCAGGUGUAGCGGUGAAAUGCGUAGAGAUCUGGAGGAAUACCGGUGGCGAAGGCGGCCCCCUGGACAAAGACUGACGCUCAGGUGCGAAAGCGUGGGGCAGCAAACAGGAUUAGAUACCCUGGUAGUCCACGCUGUAAACGAUGUCGAUUUGGAGGUUGUGGGCUUGACCCGUGGCUUCCGGAGCUAACGCGUUAAAUCGACCGCCUGGGGAGUACGGCCGCAAGGUUAAAACUCAAAGUGAAUUGAC